GAGCACCAGUAAAUCAACAGGGAUUAUUCCUUGGUGCAUGAUCUGCACUCCAGAUACUUUGGAUAGGCUGCAAGCAUGGGUAAUGUCCUGGAUAGAGCCAUCAAGGUGUGCCAGUAUUUCAAGUUGUUUUACCUUGUUGACAUCAUCAAACAGCAAAAACCCAUAGGAUUCCUCCAGAUCCUCCUCUGAAUAUCCUACGUCUCUUCUGUUUGCUCGGAAAGCAUUAUACUGAUAUAAAAAAGAAGAAGAAAUCAGUAUGAAAGCUGUCAAAUGUUAUUUAGAUUUCAUGUUUGAGGAUCCCUUUAAUAGAAAGUGCCUAUGUUCACAUAUUCACUUCAUUCUUUUCUGACAUAAAGGAUUUAAUAUACAAAUUAAGUCUCCUAGUAGCUACUGAUAAUGUUUAAAAGAUUCAGUAAUCAUAAUGGUAUCUAUAAAUAUAUAUAUACACUGUAUGAGAUUAUGACAUCAAGUUCUGUGCAGCUAUUUAAUAAAUGUGAACAGAUGUAAGGUUAACAAUCUCGGCUUCAUGUUUAAUGACAUCUAAAUGUUGAAACAUGAGGAAUAAGAUAUGCACUGACCUUUUCUUCCAGUACUGGAUUCUUUACCAAGGCAGCGGACGUAUACCUGAAAGACUGCUUUGACUCCUCAUACAAGUACGCACUUUUAACUGGAGCCAGAAUAUUGUUUAGAAAGACCAGAGAACUUUCUGAGACAGGUAUUAAAACACCUAAAAAAAAGAAGAAAAAAAAGGGGGCAAACAUGAGAAUAGUAUACAAGCGACAUUGUGAAAAUUAAAGCCCACUGCGUUUUCUUUUUUCCCAGCAACAACAAAAAGUUUCCGAAAACUAUUUGUCCUGUGAGACACGACAUAGCAGAACUACAUGUACUUUUUUGAUCUAAUCAUACAACAGCAGUAGGCUUAUGUCUCGAGUAGCCUACAGUUAAGGAGGAAAUAAACCAUCCGAUCCACAUUUGUUAAACCUAAAAGUGAAAGUCACACGAGGAGAAAGAGAAGAAGAAGAAGCUCGUCACCUUUGCUCGAGGCACCACCAUUCCCACUUUCCAUUGCUGUACACUUAAGAAAUCUGUCUUUCUCCCUUUGCCCUUCGUUGAAAACAGUUCUCUCUGGUUUUAAACAUUACAACAGAAAUACGAAGUCCCAUGUAGCCUGUAUCCAGUAAACCUUUUAAAGUAACUUGAGCCUGAGCCGCAGUUCCAACAGACAUAUUUAUGCGACAACCAGGAAGUUACAAAAGAGGCGACAGUCCGACCACGUAGACAUACAAAUAUCCAGUUAAAUCCACUUUCAUGGUUUCACAGGUAGUAAAUCCGCUUAAUGUUUAUAUCUCCUCAAUUCGUCAUGCAUGGGUGGUCGACGCAUCCAAGUCCGUUUCGAAAAAGAAACAGAAACCUAUCGAGGGGGAAGCAUCCAUCUUGAAAGUGUACACCAAACUGUGGUGCUGGUGAUUGUUGAAGCUAGUCUGCGCCUGCGGUUCACUUCUCCUCCUGUGUGUCUGCGUUCCUCUUUGCAGUCAGAAAUUAAUGAUUGCUAACUGUACACAAAAUGGCAUAGACAAAAAAAAAAAGCCUGUUUCGUCCCUCAACGUGAUACAGAGUGACCGUUUUGAAGGUUGUAGCGUGGAUUAUACAUGUACAAUUUAUAUGCACGUAGUUUAGUUUGGUGUAACUAGAGAUUGGGUGGAGACAUAACCGACUCUCACAUGGACACACAGCACCAAGCUUUAGUUCCUGUUUGUCUCUGCUGGUAUUAUGAUGUAUUUGUGUAAAGAAACUAGGGCGGAAAAUAAUAAUGUUAAUUGACAAGUGACCUACUUAUUCUUUUUAGAUUCAUUGAUUAAUCGUGUGGUCUAUAAAAUGUCAGAAAAAUAG